rnacentral:SRP_RNA from 1 species
GGUGGCGAGUUCAGAAAGGUCGCCUCAAUCAAACUCGUGGUCUGCAAGGAUUUCGCAGUGCAAGUUGUGAUGACCUGUUAGAUAAUCAUCUGGGCAAAUGCUCAGGCUGGCAUCGGAGCAGGCAAAUCCAGACGCCACCUUUUGU